rnacentral:pre_miRNA from 1 species
UGAUUGUCCAAACGCAAUUCUUGUCCUAUUUAAAGUCGGAAACCGAGAAUUGUGUGUGGACAUCCGU